rnacentral:rRNA from 1 species
AGCUUCUCGAAAAUUAAUAAGAAGUGAAGCCUGCCCGGUGACUUACGAGUUAAACGGCCGCGGUACCCUGACCGUGCUAAGGUAGCAUAUAAUUUGCCCUUUAAUUGGGGGCUGGAAUGAAAGGAUAAACGAAAGCAUAACUGUCUCUGUAAUAAAAGUAUAAAUUUACCUUUAGGUGAAAAGGCCUAAAUAAUAUAAAAAGACAAAAAGACCCCAUAGAGCUUUAUUAUCAAUACAUAAAAAGGGAAUAUCUUAAAUCCUAUUUUAUUUACACACAUAAUUUAACUGGGGCGGUUAAGGAGCAAAAACCCUCCUUUUUAUACUCAGGUUAACUAACCAUUAAACUGAUCCUUUACUGAUUAAAGAAACAAGCUACCUUGGGGAUAACAGGCUAAUAUCUUUUAAGAGUACAUAUCGAAAAAGAAGAUUGGCACCUCGAUGUUGGCUUAGAGGACCCUAGAGGUAGCAGAAGCUUCUAAGGCGGGUUUGUUCAACCCAUAAACCUCU